GACGAACGCUGGCGGCGUGCCUAAUACAUGCAAGUUGAGCGCUGAAGGUUGGUACUUGUACCCACUGGAUGAGCAGCGAACGGGUGAGUAACGCGUGGGGAAUCUGCCUUUGAGCGGGGGACAACAUUUGGAAACGAAUGCUAAUACCGCAUAAAAACUUUAAACACAAGUUUUAAGUUUGAAAGAUGCAAUUGCAUCACUCAAAGAUGAUCCCGCGUUGUAUUAGCUAGUUGGUGAGGUAAAGGCUCUCCAAGGCGAUGAUACAUAGCCGACCUGAGAGGGUGAUCGGCCACAGUGGGACUGAGACACGGCCCAAACUCCUACGGGAGGCAGCAGUAGGGAAUCUUCGGCAAUGGACGAAAGUCUGACCGAGCAACGCCGCGUGAGUGAAGAAGGGUUUCGGAUCGUAAAACUCGGUUGGUAGAGAAGAACGUUGGUGAGAGUGGAAAGCUCAUCAAGUGACGGUAACUACCCAGAAAGGGACGGCUAACUACGUG
rnacentral:rRNA from 1 species